UUGGAAAGUGCUGAGAGAAGCCAAGAUAGAGCCACCAAUCCAGACACUGUACUUUCUCUCAGGUGGAGCAACCACCUUAAUCUUCAUGCUACUAGGGGCCAAAGCUGAGAUUUCCUUGCUCAUUCUGUCCGCAAUACCAGGGAACAUGGUAGAACCACCACUGAGAACGAUGUUGCCAUACAAGUCCUUCCUAAUAUCAACGUCACAUUUCAUGAUCGAAUUGUAAGUGGUCUCAUGAAUGCCAGCAGCUUCCAUUCCAAUCAUGGAUGGUUGGAAGAGAACUUCUGGGCAUCGGAAACGCUCAGCCCCAAUGGUGAUAACCUGUCCAUCAGGCAACUCAUAGCUCUUCUCAACAGAAGAGCUAGUUUUUGAUGUUUCAAGCUCUUGCUCAUAAUCAAGGGCAAUAUAAGCCAGCUUUUCCUUUACAUCCCUUACGAUUUCACGCUCAGCGGUGGUAGUGAAGGAAUAACCUCUUUCUGUAAGGAUUUUCAUCAAGGCAUCAGUGAGAUCGCGUCCUGCCAAGUCAAGACGGAGGAUGGCAUGUGGAAGAGCAUAGCCCUCAUAAAUGGGGACAGUAUGGCUGACACCAUCUCCAGAGUCUAGAACGAUACC
rnacentral:lncRNA from 1 species